rnacentral:lncRNA from 1 species
CUUAUUUAUUUCCAAAGGCUCCCAUUGCCUGCUAGAUAAAGCCCAUACCUCUCAGCCUGGCAUACAAGUUCUCAUACAGAUGGACCAGACCUUGUCUCCUAGCAUUGCUUCCACACCCCCAGCCCUCCCACAGCCACACCGAGGCCACAGUGAACUGUCACUGUCCCCAGGCUCAGUGCACUUGCAUGCCUUCACACUCUGGCUCCUGUUGCUCCCUUUUCCUAGAUGCCUUCUCUU